rnacentral:lncRNA from 1 species
AGAGAGGAUUCCUACAUGGAGUGGGAGACUGAAAUAAUAACCUCAAAGAUGCCUUCCAAUCAGAAGAUUUGGUGAUUCUUUCUGAGUUAUCAAACUGCCUUCCUUUGACCUUGCUCACAUGUAGAAAUCCAAGUCAGCGCAGCUUAACUUGGACUCACCACCUAUCAAGUGCUCGACAGCCACGUGUGCAGUGGUUCCUACGUGGAGCAGCAUACAUCCAGAGAUGCAAAUAUUAAUGAGGACAGUGCUAGUAACAGAGUUGCUGAGCAAUCUAUGUCCCCUUGUAAGAACCAGUGCCCCAGGGGAAGAAACAGAACUCCACAAGGUAGCAGUGUGGGUGUAGUACCCGCAUGUGCCCAUGUUAUGGGAAUGUAGAUGGGGAGUGACCACCGCCAACAGAAGUGUGGCCAUCUUGCCCGAGAUGCCUGAGGACCUCCUAUUUUUAGAUGCUGCUGCCCAAGGCCUGUAUUUCAUGCUAUGGCUUUUGUCAUUUGAAUUAUCAGUAGCUGUCUCGGAGCUAUUACGCUUCACUGGGCCCUGGAGGAUAUUGUCUUAUACAGUCCACUGGGUUUUGGAUAUGCAGUCUGUGCCUUUCAUUGCCUUCCUGGAAAAUAAUAACUAAACUCUUCCUCACCA